rnacentral:rRNA from 1 species
UACGGGGGGGGCAAGCGUUGUUCGGAAUUACUGGGCGUAAAGGGCUCGUAGGCGGCCAACUAAGUCAGACGUGAAAUCCCUCGGCUUAACCGGGGAACUGCGUCUGAUACUGGAUGGCUUGAAUCCGGGAGAGGGAUGCGGAAUUCCAGGUGUAGCGGUGAAAUGCGUAGAUAUCGGAAGGAACGCCGGUGGCGAAAGCGACGUGCUGGACCUCUUCUGACGCUGAGGCGCGAAAGCUAGGGGAGCAAACGGG